rnacentral:rRNA from 1 species
UACGUAGGGUGCGAGCGUUGUCCGGAAUUAUUGGGCGUAAAGAGCUUGUAGGCGGUCUGUCGCGUCUGCUGUGAAAAUCCGGGGCUCAACCCCGGACUUGCAGUGGGUACGGGCAGACUAGAGUCAGGUAGGGGAGAACGGAAUUCCUGGUGUAGCGGUGAAAUGCGCAGAUAUCAGGAGGAACACCGGUGGCGAAGGCGGUUCUCUGGGACGGUACUGACGCUGAGACGCGAAAGCGUGGGGAGCAAACAGG